UCAGUUUUUUCAAAAACCAUUAUAAUUUAUUCAUUGAUAUAUUACUGUCUGGAAAUUGUUAUUAGCCAUGUUUGCAAUAAAAACAAGUUUAUAAACAUUCAUGUUUAUUGUAAUAUUUUCCAAUCAGCAGUGUAAUAGAGUGAUUUAUUGUAAUGUGUAAACUCUGAACAACUUGCUCAAACAAAAGAUAAUCCUUCAAUCUCGGUAAUUCCAAGUUACCUUGUUUUGGGAAUUCCAAGUCCUUUCAUUUAUAACUUCCUUAAUAUCCUAAUAGCAUGCGAUUAAUUUACUCCUCUCCGAUAGACCUGGUAUACUUUUUAGGAAAAAGCCACAUACUUACACGAACCAAGAAAGAUGUGAAUAGACGAGACGUUGGCGUUGUGAAUAAACGAGACGUUGGCGUUGUGAAUAAACGAGACGUUGGCGAUGUGAAUAGACGAGAACUUUAUUCUUUCUCGGGAAAGAGAAGCGAGCAGUUCUCGAAAGCCUAGGUUCUGCGGCACUCGCGACUUUAGUUUUUAGUUUGUAUAUUGUUUUGUUGGUUUUUAUAUAAAUAUAGUAAGUUAAGUAGU